rnacentral:rRNA from 1 species
CCUACGGGUGGCAGCAGUGAGGAAUAUUGGUCAAUGGGCGAGAGUCUGAACCAGCCAAGUAGCGUGAAGGAUGACUGCCCUAUGGGUUGUAAACUUCGUUUAUAGGGGAAUAAAAUGUUCCACGUGUGGGAUUUUGUAUGUACCAUAUGAAUAAGGAUCGGCUAACUCCGUGCCAGCAGCCGCGGUAAUACGGAGGAUCCGAGCGUUAUCCGGAUUUCUUGGGUUUAAAGGGCGCGUAGGUGGAUUGUUAAGUCAGUUGUGAAAGUUUGCGGCUCAACCGUAAAAUUGCAGUUGAAACUGGCAGUCUUGAGUACAGUAGUGUUGGGCGUCAUUCGUGGUGUAGCGUUGACAUGCUUAGAUCUCAC